GACGAACGCUGGCGGUGUGCUUAACACAUGCAAGUGGCGCGACGAACCAGAGCUUGCUCUGGGGCAAAGCCGCGAACGGGUGAGUAACACGUGGGUAACCUGCCCCGAUGACUGGGACAACCCGGGGAAACCCGGGCUAAUACCGGAUGAUGCAUCCAGGCUUAAGCCUGGAUGCCAAAGGAAGCUUCGGCCUCCGCUUCGGGAGGGGCCCGCGGCCCAUUAGCUAGUUGGUGAGGUAACGGCUCACCGAGGCCACGAUGGGUAGCUGGUCUGAGAGGACGAUCAGCCACACUGGGACUGAGACACGGCCCAGACUCCUACGGGAGGCAGCAGUGGGGAAUCUUGCGCAAUGCGCGAAAGCGUGACGCAGCAACGCCGCGUGGGGGAAGAAGGCCCUCGGGUUGUAAACCCCUUUCAGGGGGGACGAAGGUAAGGCCGGUGAACAGCCGGUCGGACUGACGGUACCCCCAGAAGAGGCUCCGGCUAACUACGUGCCAGCCGCCGCAGUAA
rnacentral:rRNA from 1 species